UCUCUCUGAAUCUGCGAACGGCUCCGCAAACCAGUUGUAAACUAUAGCAAGCAUGCCUGGGUUCCCUUCACGGGGAGCUUGGGCGAUACGGAUAACCCUGGUAAUUCUGAGGCUAAUACGGGACUGCAAUCCCUGGCUAACCGCAAGGAAGGCUGGGGGGCGUGUAAAGGCUUCGCGAGGAAUAACCGGGAAGGGGUACACGCUCUGACCACGACAAAAACAGUUCCGGUAAAUCCUCGGAUGCGCUGGUUCUGAGUGGCUUUUGCGAGGUGCUUCUGACCUAUCAACUAGAUGGCAGCGUAACGGACAUGCUAUGGUAACGACGGGUACAGAGGAUAAGGGUUCGAUCCUGGAGAGUGGGCCUGAGAGAUUGUUAG
rnacentral:rRNA from 1 species